GUGAGGAAUUUUCCGCAAUGGGCGAAAGCCUGACGGAGCAAUGCCGCGUGAAGGAUGAAGGCCUAUGGGUUGUAAACUUCUUUUCUCAGAAAAGAAUUAUGACGGUAUCUGAGGAAUAAGCAUCGGCUAACUCUGUGCCAGCAGCCGCGGUAAGACAGAGGAUGCAAGCGUUAUCCGGAAUGAUUGGGCGUAAAGCGUCUGUAGGUUGUUUAAAAAGUAUUCUGUCAAAGAUUAGGGCUUAACCCUAGAUAGGCAGAAUAAACUUUUAAGCUAGAGUUUGGUAGAGGCAGAGGGAAUUCCCGGUGGAGCGGUGAAAUGCGUAGAUAUCGGGAGGAACACCAAAGGCGAAGGCACUCUGCUGGGCCAAUACUAACACUGAGAGACGAAAGCGAGGGGAGCAAAUGGGAUUAGAAACCCAGUAGUCC
rnacentral:rRNA from 1 species